rnacentral:rRNA from 1 species
CCUACGGGUGGCAGCAGUGAGGAAUAUUGGUCAAUGGACGAGAGUCUGAACCAGCCAAGUAGCGUGAAGGAUGACUGCCCUAUGGGUUGUAAACUUCUUUUAUAUGGGAAUAAAAUGUUCCACGUGUGGGAUUUUGUAUGUACCAUAUGAAUAAGGAUCGGCUAACUCCGUGCCAGCAGCCGCGGUAAUACGGAGGAUCCGAGCGUUAUCCGGAUUUAUUGGGUUUAAAGGGAGCGUAGGUGGAUUGUUAAGUCAGUUGUGAAAGUUUGCGGCUCAACCGUAAAAUUGCAGUUGAAACUGGCAGUCUUGAGUACAGUAGAGGUUGGCGGAAUUCGUGGUGUAGCGGUGAAAUGCUUAGAUAUCACGAAGAACUCCGAUUGCGAAGGCAGUUCACUGGACUGCAACUGACACUGAGGCUCGAAAGUGUGGGUAUCAAACAGGAUUAGAUAACCUAGUAGUC